rnacentral:rRNA from 1 species
UACAGAGGGUGCAAGCGUUGUUCGGAAUUAUUGGGCGUAAAGCGCGUGUAGGCGGCUUUGCAAGUCGGGUGUGAAAGCCCCCGGCUCAACUGGGGAGGGUCACGCGAUACUGAUCGACUGGAAGGCAGGAGAGGGUAGUGGAAUUCCCGGUGUAGUGGUGAAAUGCGUAGAUAUCGGGAGGAACACCAGUGGCGAAGGCGACUACCUGGCCUGUUCUUGACGCUGAGGCGCGAAAGCUAGGGGAGCAAGCGGG